ACCCGAGUCAUGCCUCUGGGGCUGUUAGGCGUCCCCGCUGCCGCCACUGCCUGUGCUCCAUGGGGAAGAUGCUCGCUUCUGUCUCCCGCGUGCUGUCUGGCGCGUCUCAGAAGCCGACAAGCAGGGUGCUGGUAGCAUCCCGUCAUUUUGCAAAUGAUGUUACAUUUGAAAUUAAGAACUGUGACCUUCGCUGGCUGGAAGAAGGCCCUCCUACCACAACAGUGCUCACCAGGGAGGAUGGGCUCAAAUACUACAGGAUGAUGCAGACCCUGCGCCGGAUGGAGUUAAAAGCAGAUCAGCUGCAUAAACAGAACAUUAUUCGUGGUUUCUGGGACUUUUGUGAUGGUCAGCAAACUUGCUGUUUGGGCCUGGAGGCCGGCAUAAACCCCGCAGACCAUGUCAUCACAGCCUAUCGGGCACACGGCUUUACCUUCACCCGGGGCCUUUCCGUCCCAGAAAUUCUCGCAGAGCUGACAGGACCAAAAGGAGGUUGCGCUAAAGGGAAAGGAGGAUCGAUGCUCAUGGUCGCUAAGAACUUCUAUGGGGACAAUGGCGUCGUAGGAGCGCAGGGGCCCCUGGGCGCUGGGACGGCUCUGACCUCUAAGUAUAAUGGAAAAGAUGAGGUCUGCCUGGCCUUCUAUAGCGAUGGCGCUGCUAAUCAGGGCCAGAUAUUAGAAUCUUACAACGUGGCAGCUUUCUGGAAAUUACCUUGUAUUUUCAUCUGUAAGAAUAACCGCUAUGGAAUGGGAACGUCUGUUGAGAGAGCAGCAGCCAGCACUGAUUACUAGGAGAGAGGCGAUUUCGUCCCUAUGCUGACAGUGGAUGCAAUGGUAUCCUGUGCGUCCGAGAGGCGACAAGGUUUGCCACUGCCUGUUGUAGAUCUGGGAAGGGGGCCAUCCUGAAGGGGCUGCAGACUUAGCAUUACUACAGACACUGCGUGAGUGAUCCUGGAGUCAGUUACCACACAUGAGAAGACAUUCAGGAAGUAAGAAGUAAGAGUGACUGUAUUAUGCUUCUCAAGGACAGGAUGGUGAACAGCAAUCUUGCCAGUGUAGAAGAAUUAAAGGAAAUUGAUGUGAAGGUGAGGAGGGAAAGUGAGGAUGCUGCCCAGUUUGCCACGGCCUAUCCAGAGUCGCCUUUGGAGGAGCUGGGCUACCACAUCUACUCCAGCGACCCACCUUUCUAAGUUCGUGGUGCCAAUCAGUGGAUCAAGUUUAAGUCAGUCAGUUAAGGGGAGAAGGUGAGUUUAUACCUUCAGGGGCUACUAGACAAUGUUCAGUGUUCUCAACUUGGUUAAGGAGGAAGAAAACCCAGUCCAUGAAAUUCUUGUGAA